rnacentral:rRNA from 1 species
AACGAACGCUGGCGGCAGGCUUAACACAUGCAAGUCGAACGCCCCGCAAGGGGAGUGGCAGACGGGUGAGUAACGCGUGGGAAUCUACCGUACCCUACGGAAUAACGCAUGGAAACGUGUGCUAAUACCGUAUACGCCCUUAGGGGGAAAGAUUUAUCGGGGUAUGAUGAGCCCGCGUUGGAUUAGCUAGUUGGUGGGGU